rnacentral:rRNA from 1 species
CCCUAGUAUUUAGAUAUUAUUAUAAUUAGUAUUAGUGAAAUUUAAUAAUUUUGGCGGUUAAUUGUUAUUUAGAGGAGCUUGUAUAAUAGAAUUUACUCUUUAUAUCUUGUUAGUAAUUAAUUUAUUCAUCUCCGUUAUUAAUUUUUAAAUAGAAGGGUAAAAAAAAAUUAUUAUUUUAUAUUUCAGGUCAAGAUGUAGUUUUUAUUAAAAAAUAUUAGCUACAUUUAUGAAAUUAGUGGAUUAUUCAAUUUUAAUUUAAUUUGUUAAGGUGGAAGCAAUAAGAAAUUGAAUUUAGUUGUAAUAGUAAUUAGAAUGUUACUGUGAAUGGAUUUUAUUAAUGUA